CAAACCAGGGAGUCAAAUUAUAUUUUUAGGUGAAUGAAGAAUAAGGGAAACGUAUGGGGAUAAUCAAAGAGAAGGUGAAAUUUAAAUUGAGGGUCAUGUUAAAGGAUAUAAAAGUAUUAAUUCAUUAAAUCWACAAGGGAGACUGGGAUUAGAUACCCCAUUAUAGUAGAUAUAAAUGAGUUGCCAGGGGACUACGAAUGUAAAUUUGAAACCCAAAGGACUUGGCGGUGCUUUAGGCUUUCUAGGGGAAUCUAUUAUAUAAACGAUAAUCCACGCGGAAUCUCACCUUUUUUUGUAAAAGCAUGUAUACCGUUGUCGUCAGGUAACUCUUGAGGAUAUAAAAGUUAGCGGAUGAAAGGAUAAUUUGGGAUGUCAAAUCUAGGUGCAGCUAAUAGAAAGGUAUAAAUGGGUUACAUUUAUAAUAUUGUAAUGGAUUAGAUCUUGGGAGAGAUAAAUGAAACAGGACUUAGGAGUAAGGUGGGGUAUAUGAAUGGCUUGAAUUAAGCUCUGGAGCGUGU
rnacentral:rRNA from 1 species